rnacentral:rRNA from 1 species
AACGAACGCUGGCGGCAUGCCUAACACAUGCAAGUCGAACGAGACCUUCGGGUCUAGUGGCGCACGGGUGCGUAACGCGUGGGAACCUGCCCUUAGGUUCGGAAUAACUCCCCGAAAGGGGUGCUAAUACCGGAUAAUGUCUUCGGACCAAAGAUUUAUCGCCUUUGGAUGGGCCCGCGUUGGAUUAGCUAGUUGGUAGGGUAAAAGCCUACCAAGGCGACGAUCCAUAGCUGGUCUGAGAGGAUGAUCAGCCACACUGGGACUGAGACACGGCCCAGACUCCUACGGGAGGCAGCAGUGGGGAAUAUUGGAAAGGGGGGGAAGGCCUGAUCCAGCAAGGCCGCGUGAGUAAUGAAGGCCUUGGGGUUGUAAAGCUCUUUUACCCGGGAUGAUAAUGACAGUACCGGGAGAAUAAGCUCCGGCUAACUCCGUG